GACGAACGCUGGCGGCGUGCUUAACACAUGCAAGUCGUACGGAAAGGCCCUGCUGUUGUGGCGUGCUCGAGUGACGGACGGGUGAGUAACAAGUGAGUAACCUGCACUUGACUUUGGGAUAACUUAAGCUGACUCGGGCACAUACCAGAUAGGCGCUCCUCCUGCAUGGUGGGGGUUGGCUAGUUUCGGCGGUGGGGGACGGACUCGCGGCUUGUCUGUUGGUGGGUGGGGGAGUGGCUUACCAAGGCUUGGACGGGUAGCCGGCCUGAGAGGGUGACCGGCCACAUGGGGACGGAGUAACGGCCCAGACUCCUACGGGGGGCAGCAGUGGGGAAUAUGGCACAAUGGGCGGAAGCCGGAUGCAGCAACGCCGCGGGCGGAAGGACGGCCUUCGGUUGGUAAACCGUUUUCGCCGGUAACGAAGCGUUAGUGACGGUAAUUGGUGAAGAAGCACCGGCUAACUACGUG
rnacentral:rRNA from 1 species